rnacentral:rRNA from 1 species
UACGUAGGUGGCAAGCGUUGUCCGGAAUGACUGGGCGUAAAGGGAGCGUAGGCGGCGCAGUAAGUUAGGAGUGAAAUCCCGGGGCUCAACCCCGGAACUGCUUUUAAAACUGCUGUGCUUGAGUGAUGGAGAGGAAAGCGGAAUUCCUAGUGUAGCGGUGGAAUGCGUAGAGAUUAGGAAGAACACCAGUGGCGAAGGCGACUUACUGGACUGUAACUGACGCUGAGGCAUGAGAGCAUGGGGAGCAAACAGG